AUGACGGGUAGCUGGUCUGAGAGGACGAUCAGCCACACUGGGACUGAGACACGGCCCAGACUCCUACGGGAGGCAGCAGUGGGGAAUCUUGCGCAAUGGGCGAAAGCCUGACGCAGCAACGCCGCGUGGGGGAUGAAGGCUCUCGGGUUGUAAACCCCUUUCAGCAGGGACGAAAUUGACGGUACCUGCAGAAGAAGCCCCGGCCAACUACGUGCCAGCAGCCGCGGUAACACGUAGGGGGCGAGCGUUGUCCGGAUUUAUUGGGCGUAAAGAGCUCGUAGGCGGCUCAGUAAGUCGGGUGUGAAAUUUCAGGGCUCAACCCUGAAACGCCACCCGAUACUGCUGUGGCUAGAGUCCGGUAGGGGAGCGUGGAAUUCCUGGUGUAGCGGUGAAAUGCGCAGAUAUCAGGAGGAACACCAGCGGCGAAGGCGGCGCUCUGGGCCGGAACUGACGCUGAGGAGCGAAAGCAUGGGUAGCGAACAGGAUUAGAUACCCUGGUAGUCCAUGCCGUAAACGGGGGGCACUAGGUGUGGGGGGCUGUCAACGCCUUCCGUGCCGUAGCUAACGCAUUAAGUGCCCCGCCUGGGGAGUACGGCCGCAAGGCUAAAACUCAAAGGAAUUGACGG
rnacentral:rRNA from 1 species